GUGAUACUUUAGAGAGGAGGGAUGUAUUGAAACAGACUACUGCUACUUACAGCACCGUAUAGCAGCCCUGCUCCUACAUUCUGCUGCCUUACUCUGCCCCGAAUGCACUGGAGUGGGGAUGGUCCAUCGGCAACUAUAAACUGAUUCUCCUCAGAAAACUGCACAUUAUCUCCCCAUCACUUCAAAGGUCUCGUCAGGCAGAGGUGACGCCAGGAGAUGAUUUAAAGGUGAAAAUGACAAGGUUUCCACCCCUUAAACCUUGGCUUCUUUUCUGACAAUACAGUCUGAAUGAACCCGAUGUCUUCUUUACUGUGGAAAUAGGAUCGGAAGAGAAUAACAUAUUUUUUAAUACUGAGAAAGAAGAUUGUUGGGAAGCUCUUUAAAAAAAAAAAUCUCAAAUUGUGGCACAGAUGGAUUUUAAAAAGUGUUAGAUUUUUCCAAUGAACACUAAUAGAGUACUCUGCUUUUGGCUGGAUUUUUCAGAGAAUGGCAAUGGUCUCUGCGAUGUCCUGGGUCCUGUAUUUGUGGAUAAGUGCUUGUGCGAUGCUACUGUGCCAUGGAUCCCUUCAGCACACUUUCCAGCAGCACCACCUGCACAGACCAGGAAAGGAGUCAAACCACGUCUCACUCAGAAUUUGGAUGAGAGGAAGCCCUCCUACAUCUUCAGGUGUGGCCAUUGUUCUACUGAUGCAAUUACCUGCAUUACCUUUACUACACCCUUACUAUAA